rnacentral:tRNA from 1 species
GGUCAGGAUAGCUCAGUUGGUAGAGCACGAGG